UUUUUUUUUCAUUAAAAACAAACAAAAAAGUAAUAUAUGCUUUCAUGUUGUAUUAGUUUCCUCAGACUGCUAUAACAAACUACCACCAACUGAAUGACUUCACAACAGAAAUUUAUUCUGUCUCAGUUUUGAAUUUCAUGAUCAAGAUGUUUGUGGGGUUGGCUCUUUCUAAGGAUUGCUAGAAAAAUCUGUUCCAUGCCUUACCCCGAGAUUCUGGCAGUUGCUGGCAAUCUUUGCUGUUUCUUGGCUUACGGAAGCAUCGUCCCAAUUUCUGCAUCAUCUUCACGUGGUGUUCUCCUUGCAUGUAAUGUCUGUGUCUAAAUUUUCCCUUGUUAUAAGGAUACCAGUCAUAUUGGAUUAGUGGCCCACCCUACUCUGUAGGACCUCCUCUUAACUAAUGACAUCUGUAAUGACCCUAUUUCCAAAGAAGUCUUCAUUCUAAGAUACCAGAGGUUAAGAUUUUGACACAUGAAGUUAGGGGGGGAUGGACAUAGUUCAACCAAAAACACAUAUGAAUACAUUUAUCUUAACAGAUAACCACAUGGCGUUGUACAAGAGAUCUACCUACUCUGAACCUCAGAGUCUUCAUUCCUUAGGAGGGUUAUUGUGACUAUUCUCAUUCCCAAGACUGUGUCUCCAGGAGACCAGGGACUGUCCUGUCCUAUUGAAUAGCCUGAGAGAGAAGCAGGCCGAGCUUUGCUUCUUCUGCUCAUACAAGUACCUGUAACCAGGAUCCCCCUAUCCUACCACCAGUGCUGGUGGUAGAGUCUUUUGUUUCAUUCAAAUGCAAUCCUUGUACAUAAACUACUCUUCAUUACCAGCCUGGCAGCAACUAUGCACAUAGUUCCACUCCCAUUACCAGGAUGGCAUAACUCCCACUUCUCACCCUCCUGGUACCUGAGUGGUCACGAUUGCAACCUAUCACAUCCAGCUCCAUACUCUUCCCCUGAAUUAGUGGUACACUAGCCAACUAAUGCCUCCAGUCUCCUUGCCCCAGGUCUUGCCUUGUUCUCUCAAGACUAUCAAGGUGCAGAGCGGGGUGCCUGGGUGGCUCAGUGGUUGAGUGUCUGCCUUUGGCUCAGGUCAUAAUCCCGGGGUCCUGGGAUCAAGUCCUCCAUCAGUCUUCCCGUGGGGAGUCUGCUUCUUCCUUUGCCUAUGUAUCUGCCUCUCUCUCUGUGUCUCUCAUGAAUAAAUAAGUAAAAUCUUAAAAAAAAAAAAAGGUUCAGAGCUGAUGUUUUAGCCCAAGCCUCCAUACCCACCCUAAACAAUACAUAACCACACAUUCAGCGGUUCCUCUUAUCACAUGUCCUAUUAGACCUGAAACUCUCCAAUAACCAUAUUGUCAAAAUUAUACAUAGUGUAUUCCUAAUUCCUAGAAUGGGAUUCAAUUCAAUCCAACUUUUGGAGCAGUACAUUUGUAUAGCCUGUGAACCAGCUAUAAAAACAUUCUGGCAAUGAUUGUAUUCAUAAGUGAAUGCUAUCAAAAUCUUACAAUAUGCUUAAUAAAACCUAGUAGACUACACACUCACAAACAAGCCUAUAGGGUCAUAAAAGCAUGGGCUGAGAAAGAAAUCAAUGGGAAAAUCAGUCUGAAAGUUAAUUUCAUAUGUCAGCUUGGCUAGGUUGUGGUGCCUAAUUGUUUGGUCAAACACUAGUCCAGAUGUUACCGUGAAGGAGUUUUGUAGAUGUAAUUAACAUAAUCAGUAGACUUUAAGUAACAAAGAUUACUCUCCAAUAAUGCCUCCUGAAAUCAUCUGAAGCUCUUAAGAGCAAAAAACUGAGGUUUUCCAAAGAAGGAAUUCUGCUUCAAGACUGU
rnacentral:lncRNA from 1 species